GAAAUUUCCUUUUUUUAGCUUUAGUACAAAUGAAAGUCGUCAGAAUGAGUUCGAAUUCGAAGUUGAUUUUAGCUCACCAAUACAAAGAAAGUUAGACGGAUCGUACGAUGAGAUGUUCGAUUUUUGUUCCGGAAGGGGGAUUGCUUCUUGAUUUUGCGCCGUGGAGAUCGGUAUUUUUUCGAGACGAGACAAGACCUUUUCGAGUCGUGGGAGUUUUUUUUGAAAUCGACCAAGAAAAGAGUUCGGUGGGGAAAAGCUGCCAAAGAUUUUGUGAAACGAAAAUUUAAAAAAAACGCUAACUUUAAGAAAAAGUUAUUAACUUAAAAAAAAAAAAAGAAAAAAAAGAUACAAAACGAUUUAAAAGUGAUGUAAACAACCUUUUAUUCUUGAAAAAAAACAAACGGGGGAAUGAGUGUUGCCAUAGUUUUUUUUUUGAAAUUUUUUUAAUUAAAUUCAACAAAAAUUGAUUUAAACUAAAUUAAAACAAUCGAAAGUGAUGUGAUGAACCCAAUAAAGACAAAUUUGGGGAAAAUAGUUAAAAGCGGUUGAUAAUUGGCGGUCCCAUAUCACCAUUAAAAGGACUGAGCCGCCGCAAUAUACAAUUUAAAUAAAAAAUUUAAAACGUCUUGUUGGUCCAUCGAAGCACCCCGGUUCCCGUCAGCACCGGUCCGUGUAGAGGCACUUGGGAGGAGAAAUAAUUCAGACUGAUAAGUCAAUCUUUGUGUUUGUGUUUGUCUUUAUCUAUAUUUAUUUAAUUUUUUUGGCGUCCAAAGUAUUUUAUUAAAUGUCAUUUUCAUUAA